AGCGAAGCAGGAUGCCAAGGCGCAGGCCACCAAGGCCGCAAAGUCGGUGAAGAAGGGCAGCUUCAAGAAGACCAGGAAGCCCCGCUACUCCGUGGUUUUCCACCGACCCAAGACCUUGGAGCGCACCCGUGCACCCAAGUACCUGCGCAAGAGGUACUGAAACAUGGGCACGCUUUCCACUCUACUGAUAGAAGCAUGGCUCACUGCUGAUCCUGGGAUGUGGCAUGGCAGCUCAGGGCAUCCCAUGGGCGAGCAGCAGCCAACGCAACAAGUGUGGAGGAGGGAGCAGUGUCACCGAACCCAGCCGGAUUGGGCUUGCAGGCAGCAAGAAUAGCGUAAACACACAAAUAAAUGUGAAGCUGCAGCACGACAGCACGACCCCGACAAAACAGUUAUCUUCCCUCUCUGAAAGCCUGCUUGCCUCCUGUUCCCCAUCAUGGUUGCAGCAUGGGCGGUAUGCAGAAGAUGGACUCAUACUCCGUGCUCAAGUCGCCAUUGACAACGGAGUCAGCCAUGAAGAAGAUUGAGGACAACAACACCCUGGUGGGUGUGGGCAUAGCACAGUGCAUGGAGGCCAGGUUGCCUCCACUUCAAAAUGGAGCACUAAGUGCAUGCAGCAUCCCUCCUUCAGCCAAGUGCAUGCCUGGCCUGGCACAGCUUCAUCACAGUAUACAGCUUCGACCUCUGCACAGCAAAAAUGCAUGGUGCUCUGCCUGCAUGCAAGGCAAAUGGUCCAGGCAGUUGUCCUCUGUCUGCUUGCUACGAAGGGACCUGUACUUUCUCAUUGAGUUUGUGAGUGUGUUGGCAUGCAGAGGCGCAUGUGCAUCUGAAUUGCAAGGCGCUCGUCUUGCUGCCUGUCAAUUCUGCUUACACCCUCUCCUCGCAGGUGUUCAUGGUUGACCUGCGCGCCAACAAGAAGAUGAUCAAGGAGGCUGUCUACAACCUGUACGACAUUCAGUGCAAGAAGAUCAACACACU
rnacentral:lncRNA from 1 species